rnacentral:rRNA from 1 species
AGAGUUUGAUCCUGGCUCAGGACGAACGCUGGCGGCGCGCCUAACACAUGCAAGUCGAACGAGAGAGAAGGAGCUUGCUUCUUCGAUCGAGUGGCGAACGGGUGAGUAACGCGUGAGGAACCUGCCUCAAAGAGGGGGACAACAGUUGGAAACGACUGCUAAUACCGCAUAAGCCCACGGGUCGGCAUCGACCAGAGGGAAAAGGAGUGAUCCGCUUUGAGAUGGCCUCGCGUCCGAUUAGCUAGUUGGUGAGGUAACGGCCCACCAAGGCGACGAUCGGUAGCCGGACUGAGAGGUUGAACGGCCACAUUGGGACUGAGACACGGCCCAGACUCCUACGGGAGGCAGCAGUGGGGAAUAUUGCACAAUGGGGGAAACCCUGAUGCAGCGACGCCGCGUGGAGGAAGAAGGUCUUCGGAUUGUAAACUCCUGUUGUUGAGGAAGAUAAUGACGGUACUCAACAAGGAAGUGACGGCUAACUACGUGCCAGCAGCCGCGGUAAAACGUAGGUCACAAGCGUUGUCCGGAAUUACUGGGUGUAAAGGGAGCGCAGGCGGGAAGACAAGUUGGAAGUGAAAUCCAUGGGCUCAACCCAUGAACUGCUUUCAAAACUGUUUUUCUUGAGUAGUGCACAGGUAGGCGGAAUUCCCGGUGUAGCGGUGGAAUGCGUAGAUAUCGGGAGGAACACCAGUGGCGAAGGCGGGCCUACUGGGCACCAACUGACGCUGAGGCUCGAAAGUGUGGGUAGCAAACAGGAUUAGAUACCCUGGUAGUCCACACCGUAAACGAUGAUUACUAGGUGUUGGAGGAUUGACCCCUUCAGUGCCGCAGUUAACACAAUAAGUAAUCCACCUGGGGAGUACGACCGCAAGGUUGAAACUCAAAGGAAUUGACGGGGGCCCGCACAAGCAGUGGAGUAUGUGGUUUAAUUCGACGCAACGUGAAGAACCUUACCAAGUCUUGACAUCCUGCGACGAUGCUAGAAAUAGUAUUUUCCUUCGGGACGCAGAGACAGGUGGUGCAUGGUUGUCGUCAGCUCGUGUCGUGAGAUGUUGGGUUAAGUCCCGCAACGAGCGCAACCCUUAUGGUCAGUUACUACGCAAGAGGACUCUGGCCAGACUGCCGUUGACAAAACGGAGGAAGGUGGGGAUGACGUCAAAUCAUCAUGCCCUUUAUGACUUGGGCUACACACGUACUACAAUGGCGUUAAACAAAGAGAAGCAAGACCGCGAGGUGGAGCAAAACUCAGAAACAACGUCCCAGUUCGGACUGCAGGCUGCAACUCGCCUGCACGAAGUCGGAAUUGCUAGUAAUCGUGGAUCAGCAUGCCACGGUGAAUACGUUCCNCGGGCCCUUGUACACACCGCCCGUC